rnacentral:rRNA from 1 species
UGGGGAAUAUUGGGCAAUGGGGGAAACCCUGACCCAGCGACGCCGCGUGGAGGAAGGAGCCCUUCGGGGUGUAAACUCCUGUUGUAAGGGAAGAAGGCAGUGACGGUACCUUACGAGGAAGCCCCGGCAAACUACGUGCCAGCAGCCGCGGUAACACGUAGGGGGCGAGCGUUGUCCGGAAUUACUGGGCGUAAAGCGCACGCAGGCGGAUGCGCGCGUCGGCUGUGAAAUGCACCGGCUCAACCGGUGCACUGCGGUCGAUACGGCGCAUCUGGAGUGCGGGAGAGGGAAGCGGAAUUCCCGGUGUAGCGGUGAAAUGCGUAGAUAUCGGGAGGAACGCCGGUGGCGAAGGCGGCUUCCUGGCCCGCAACUGACGCUCAUGUGCGAAAGCCAGGGGAGCGAACCG